AUAGGGAGUCGGACCUGCCCAGUGAAACAUUUUAAACGGCCGCGGUACUCUGACCGUGCAAAGGUAGCAUAAUCAUUUGCCCUAUAAUUGAGGGCUAGUAUGAAUGGUUUGACAAGAAUAAAGCUGUCUCCAUGUAAUUACAUAGAAUUUUAUCUUUAGGUGAAGAAGCCUAAAUUAUAUUAAAAGACAAGAAGACCCUAUCGAGCUUUAAAAAAAUUAAUAAAGUAAUAUUAAAUAUCAAUUAAAAUAAAUUUUAUUAAAGAUUUUGGUUGGGGCGACAAAGGAACAAACAAAGCUUCUUUUUAAAUAAAAAACUUGCAGGCAAUGAUCCAGAAUAACUCUGAUUAAAGGAAUUAGUUACCGUAGGGAUAACAGCAUUAUCUUUUUUGAGAGCUCAUAUCGAAAAAAAGGUUUGUGACCUCGAUGUUGGACCAGGAUAUCCCGAAGAUGCAGAAGUCUUCAAAGGUUGGUCUGUUCGACCAUUAAAAUCCU
rnacentral:rRNA from 1 species